GCUCAUAUAGUGUAGUUGGUUUAUCACAUCUGCCUCACACGCAGAAGGUCCCCAGUUCGAGCCUGGGUGUGAGCA